CAUAUUCCUAUCUGCACAGAUCAAGUGAAGUUUAAUUUCAAGAAAUGGAUGAUUUUUAGCAUUAAACACGGAGAAACUAAUAUAUCUAAGAAGAGGGAUUAAUUCCUCAGCUACAACUUUACCAAUAAUAAUCCCAAGCCCUCCAGAGCGUGUAAAUAUACUUGUGCUUCUCCCUGUAGAUAGAGAAAAUUUUAAGAACCCAACCCUCAAUUAAACCACUUCUUAAUACUCUCAACCCCAUCCCCAUUUAGCAAGAUAAAAGUAUAUAAAAUCACAUGCAUAAAUAAGAAUUAUCUGGACAGAUUAUUACAAUUACAAAACAGCCACACACAAAAAAAAUAAUUCAAUAAUCACCUAUAGGAUCAAACAUCUUUAAAAUUGUUCGAAAUCCACUGCCAUUAAAGUUCAUCACAGCGUACCGCACAAUUCUACAAAAUCCAAUAGUGUGUUAGCCAGGAACCGAGAAACACAAUAAUGAAUAAAUUUACAAAGCAAUCCGUAAACUUUAAAAAGACACUAAUAUGCAAAUUUGAUCAUAUAUCUUUAUGACAAUCACUUGAUCCUGUCAGAAUUGCCAGGCGAAGAAGAUGAUCACUUCUUAAUAUAAUCCGGAUUCAGUAAU
rnacentral:lncRNA from 1 species